rnacentral:rRNA from 1 species
CCUACGGGGCGCAGCAGUGAGGAAUAUUGGUCAAUGGCCGGAAGGCUGAACCAGCCAUGCCGCGUGAAGGUCAGUGCCCUAUGGGCGUUAAACUUCUUUUGUGCGGGAGCAAUAAUGGUCACGUGUGGCCAGACGAGAGUACCGUACGAAUAAGCAUCGGCUAACUCCGUGCCAGCAGCCGCGGUAAUACGGGGGAUGCAAGCGUUAUCCGGAUUUAUUGGGUUUAAAGGGUGCGUAGGCUGUGAGGUAAGUCAGCGGUGAAAUGCCCCCGCUCAACGGGGUGAAGUGCCAUUGAUACUGCCUGGCUGGAAUGCGGAUGCCGUGGGAGGAAUGUGUGGUGUAGCGGUGAAAUGCAUAGAUAUCACACAGAACACCGAUUGCGAAGGCAUCUCACGAAUCCGCGAUUGACGCUGAUGCACGAAAGCGUGGGUAUCAAACAGGAUUAGAUACCCCAGUAGUC